GCCUGGGUGGCUCAGUGGUUGAGCUUCUGCCUUCAGCUCAGGUCACGAGCCCAGAGUCCUGGGAUCAAGUCCCACAUCAGGCU
rfam:Canis lupus familiaris chromosome 20, whole genome shotgun sequence.